UUUAAAUAGCGAACCAGGAUGAACAGGUGUCACAUCUUUACCUGGAAACCUGUCAAGUACAUCUGAGGAGCCGGACUCCUGCUGAAAGCCACAUCUGAGAAUACAUACCACCCAACGGAACUGCUGUACCUUAUCAACUAGAAACCAAAAAGAUCUACAGACAUGGACAGCAAACUUGUUUUCACCGCUAUGUUUGUGACGCUGUGCUGGAUGUGUGUCGGUACCAGAGCACAAUCAAACACAACAAUGACACCACAAGCAACAACGGCAUCAAACGCAACAAUGGCAUCAAACGCAACAAUGACACCACAAGCAACAACGGCGGCGUCAAACGCAACGAUGACACCACAAGCAACAACGGCGGCAUCAAACGUAACAAUGACACCACAAGCAACAACGGCGGCAUCAAACGCAACGAUGGCACCACAGGCAACAACGGUGGCGUCAAACGCAACGAUGGCACCACAGGCAACAACGGUGGCGUCAAACGCAACGAUGGCACCACAGGCAACAACGGUGGCGUCAAACGCAACGAUGGCAC